rnacentral:rRNA from 1 species
UACGGAGGACCCAAGCGUUAUCCGGAUUUAUUGGGUUUAAAGGGUGCGUAGGCGGGAAAAUAAGUCAGAGGUGAAAGCCGGCAGCUUAACUGUCGAACUGCCUUUGAUACUGUUUUUCUUGAAUUUGGUUGAAGUGGGCGGAAUGUGACAUGUAGCGGUGAAAUGCGUAGAUAUGUCCCAGAACACCGAUUGCGAAGGCAGCUCACUAAGCCAACAUUGACGCUGAGGCACGAAAGCGUGGGGAGCAAACAGG